rnacentral:tRNA from 1 species
CGGGGUGUGGCGCAGUUGGUAGCGCGCGAAGUUUGGGACUUCGAUGCCGCAGGUUCAAAUCCUGUCACUCCGACCA